GACAUCUUACUUCGAAUAAAGAAUAUGGUGAAACUAAUUCAUACCUUAGCCGAUCACGGUGAUGAUGUCAACUGCUGUGCGUUCUCCUCUUCUCUCUUGGCUACUUGCUCUUUGGACAAAACAAUUCGUCUGUACUCCCUAAGUGACUUUACCGAGCUGCCCCACUCGCCAUUGAAGUUUCACACCUAUGCUGUCCACUGCUGCUGUUUCUCCCCUUCAGGCCACAUUUUGGCUUCCUGUUCAACAGACGGUACCACUGUCCUAUGGAAUACUCAGAAUGGAGAGACUUUGGCAGUGAUGGAACAGCCCACUGGUAGCCCCGUGAGGGUUUGCCAGUUUUCCCCAGACUCCACUUGUUUGGUAUCAGGUGCAGCUGACGGAACAGUUGUUUUAUGGAACGCCCAGUCAUACAAGUUAUAUAGAUGCGGUAGUGUUAAAGAUGGCUCCUUGGUGGCCUGUGCAUUUUCUCCGAAUGGAAACCUCUUUGUCACUGGCUCCUCAUGUGGAGAUUUAACAGUGUGGGAUGAUAAAAUGAGGUGUCUACAUAGUGAAAAAGCACACGAUCUUGGAAUUACCUGCUGUGAUUUUUCUUCACAGCCAUUUACUGAUGGAGAGCAAGGUCUUCAGUUUUUUCGAUUGGCCUCAUGUGGUCAGGAUUGCCAGAUCAAAAUUUGGGUAGUUUCUUUUACCCAUGUCUUAGGUUUUGAAUUAAAAUAUAAAAGUACACUGAGUGGGCACUGUGCUCCUGUUCUGGCUUGUGCUUUUUCUCAUAAUGGGCAGAUGCUAGUCUCGGGAUCAGUGGAUAAGUCUGUCAUAAUAUAUGAUACUAAUACUGAGAGUAUACUUCACACAUUGACUCAGCACACCAGGUAUGUCACAAGUUGUGCCUUUGCACCCAAUACUCCUUUACUUGCUACUGGUUCAAUGGACAAAACAGUGAACAUCUGGCAGUUUGAUCUAGAGACACCUUGCCAAGCAAGGAGCAUGGAAGAUCAAGUGAAGUUUACUGAAAAUUGGUCAGAGGAAGAUGUCUCAGUGUGGCUUUGUGCACAAGGUUUAAGUGACCUUGUUGGUAUUUUCAAAAUGAAUAACAUUGAUGGAAGAGAACUGUUGAAUCUCACCAAAGAAAGCCUGACUGAUGAUUUGAAAAUUGAAUCUCUAGGGCUGCGGAGUAAAGUUCUAAGGAAAAUUGAAGAGCUCAGGACAAAGGUGAAAACCCUUUCUUCUGGAAUUCCUGACGAGUUUCUCUGUCCAAUAACUAGGGAACUUAUGAAAGAUCCUGUCAUUGCAUCAGAGGAAUCCAAUUGCAAGAUCUAACAAGGAGCCAGCUGUAAAGCAGAAAAGUGGUUUGCCUUAUCCUGGCUCCAGCAUGUGGAGUCCUCUGUAUCAUGCAUGAACUUAGAGCUGAGAGACAAUAGCUUAAUAAGUCCAAUCAGCAUUUAGCAAGUCAAAUCAAAGAGGAAUCAAUAGCCCUCAUGUAUGGCUAUUCAUAUGAAAAGGAAGCAAUGGAAAAUUGGAUCAGCAAAAAGAAACGUACAAGUCCCAUGACGAAUCUUGUUCUUCCUUCAGUGGUACUGACACCAAACAGGACUUUGAAAAUGGCCAUCAGCCGAUGGCUAGAGACACAUCAAAAAUAAAAUUAUUUAUACUGUUUA